UAAAACUUCUGUCUUARUGUAUACGAAUCGUUGAAGGAACGAAASCCGAAMAUACCCAWUAUCUUGUUCCAACAGGAUAUUGGGUAUUUCUUUGUUUAUUCUGAAUCUUUCUAUUCUGAAUUCACUUAACGACGAGAUUUAGUAUCCUUUCUUGCACUUUCAUAACUCGUGAAAUGCCGAGUAGGCACGAAUUCCCCCAAUUUGCGACCUACCAUAGGAUUUGUUAUGUAAAUAGGUAUAUGUUCCUUUCCAUUAUGAAUCGCGAUUGUAUGGCCAACCAUUGCGGGUAGAAUGCUAGAUGCCC
rnacentral:misc_RNA from 1 species